AGGGCGUGAGGAGAAUACGGUGGCCUUAGUGGCUUUUUGGGGAGCAUUGUGCCUCCACACCGCUCCAACGGAGACGUACUUCCUGUCAAAGGGAAGGAACUUCGGUAACACAUCCUCAUCUCCAUCGGUUCCACUUGUGGUUAUCUCUAUCCUUUACUUUGUAUUUGCUUUUGCUUGUGACUAUAUCUUAGUUGUCUUAAUAGCUCUCGUUGUUAGAUUCUAUCGGGUUCACCUCAUUGUCAUAUUAUUUGUGAACCCGCAUAGUGUUUACCUUAACUUGCUAAGAUUAAUUAAAAGG
rnacentral:lncRNA from 1 species